rfam:Puccinia graminis f. sp. tritici CRL 75-36-700-3 supercont2.21 genomic scaffold, whole genome shotgun sequence.
GCCCGGUUAGCUCAGUCGGUAGAGCAUUCGGCUUUUACAAGGGGUAUCCCCUCUGCAAACGUGACCGAAAUGUCGGGGGUUCGAGCCCCCCAUUGGGCG